AGAGUUUGAUCCUGGCUCAGAACGAACGCUGGCGGCAUGCCUAACACAUGCAAGUCGAACGAGAUCUUCGGAUCUAGUGGCGCACGGGUGCGUAACGCGUGGGAAUCUGCCCUUCGGUUCGGAAUAACUCAGGGAAACUUGAGCUAAUACCGGAUAAUGACGUAAGUCCAAAGAUUUAUCGCCGAAGGAUGAGCCCGCGUAAGAUUAGCUUGUUGGUGAGGUAAAAGCUCACCAAGGCUACGAUCUUUAGCUGGUCUGAGAGGAUGAUCAGCCACACUGGGACUGAGACACGGCCCAGACUCCUACGGGAGGCAGCAGUGGGGAAUAUUGGACAAUGGGCGAAAGCCUGAUCCAGCCAUGCCGCGUGAGUGACGACUUGCCCUAGAGGUUGUAAAGCUCUUUUACCCGUGGAUGAUAAUGACUGUACGCGGGAGAGAUAAGCUCCGGCUAGUGUCCGUGCCAGCAGCCGCGAGUAAUACCGGAGGGAGCUACCGUGGUACGGAAUUACUGGGCGUACAGCGCACGUAAGCCGCUGUUGUAUGUUAGGAGGUGAAAAGCUCGGGGGACUCAAACUUCCCUGAUUCUGGCCGUUUUAAAGCAACUGGCCGNUCCCCCCCUGAAAUGUNCCAUGGAACGAAAAGCUCGAAGUUGGGGACCUUAAAUUUACCCUGGUNCCAUUUGUUUGNCCACUCCCGUUUGCAACUCNUNCUGGGAAUUCAAAAAACAUUUUUGGGUUAAAAAGCCUGGGCUUUGUUGUUUACCGCGUUUUUCCACCNCNUG
rnacentral:rRNA from 1 species